GACGAACGCUGGCGGCGUGCUUAACACAUGCAAGUCGAGCGGAAAGGCCCUUCGGGGUACUCGAGCGGCGAACGGGUGAGUAACACGUGAGUAACCUGCCCUUGGCUCUGGGAUAGCUCCGGGAAACCGGAAUUAAUACCGGAUAUGACCUCGGCCGACAUCGGCUGUGGUGGAAAGAUUUAUCGGCCAGGGAUGGGCUCGCGGCCUAUCAGCUAGUUGGUGGGGUAACGCCUACCAAGGCGACGACGGGUAGCCGGCCUGAGAGGGCGACCGGCCACACUGGGACUGAGACACGGCCCAGACUCCUACGGGAGGCAGCAGUGGGGAAUAUUGCGCAAUGGGCGGAAGCCUGACGCAGCGACGCC
rnacentral:rRNA from 1 species